rnacentral:misc_RNA from 1 species
AAGUCGUAACAAGGUUUCCGUAGGUGAACCUGCGGAAGGAUCAUUAAUGAAUCAUAAAGUCGAUCAUCUGUGCUGGUGUUCAUUCACAUGUGCACGUUGAUCGCAAAAUCCACACACCUGUGCACUUUUGACCUUGGGAUUCGCUUGUUCUCGUGACUUGCAGUUGGUAGACUGUUGUCGACCUGAAUCUCAGGGUACUUUUUUAUCUAUGCCAAAUGUCUUAGAAUGUAACUGUGCAUAAUGCGCAAAUAUACAACUUUCAACAACGGAUCUCUUGGCUCUC